rnacentral:rRNA from 1 species
UACGUAGGGCGCGAGCGUUGUCCGGAAUUAUUGGGCGUAAAGGGCGCGUAGGCGGUUUGUACAGUCAGGUGUGAAAUUCCCGGGCUCAACCUGGGGGCUGCACUUGAUACGUAUGGACUGGAGUGGGGAAGAGGGUCGUGGAAUUCCCAGUGUAGAGGUGAAAUUCGUAGAUAUUGGGAAGAACACCGGUGGCGAAGGCGGCGACCUGGUCCUUGACUGACGCUGAGGCGCGAAAGCGUGGGGAGCAAACAGG